AGGAAGUAAUGCAACCGUGUGGAAGCGUGAAGCACUUGUUCGGUGAUUAAUGAUACAUGAAGACUUCUUCUUCCUUCCCUGUUAGCUAAAGCUGCGACGAGAAGAGUAUCAAGAAGAAGGAUGUGAUCAAUAACAGCAGGUGACCAACCAGGAUGUGCUGAGGAUGACUGAGGUGAGCUCAGGCUUGGGGUGGCCCAGUGUCUCACAGCGGAUCUCCACGCUGGAGGUUGACUUGGACAGCUGCAGAGGCUCCCCCACAAAGACCACGACCUCUGAAGGGGACCUGUUGUCGUCUAUCU